CCUACGGGAGGCAGCAGUAGGGAAUAUUGCUCAAUGGGGGAAACCCUGAAGCAGCAACGCCGCGUGGAGGAUGAAGGUUUUCGGAUUGUAAACUCCUUUUGUUAGAGAAGAUAAUGACGGUAUCUAACGAAUAAGCACCGGCUAACUCCGUGCCAGCAGCCGCGGUAAUACGGAGGGUGCAAGCGUUACUCGGAAUCACUGGGCGGAAAGAGCGCGUAGGCGGGAUAGCAAGUCAGAUGUGAAAUCCUAUGGCUUAACCAUAGAACUGCAUUUGAAACUGUUAUUCUAGAGUAUGGGAGAGGUAGGUGGAAUUCUUGGUGGAGGGGUAAAAUCCGUAGAGAUCAAGAGGAAUACUCAUUGCGAAGGCGACCUGCUAGAACAUAACUGACGCUGAUGCGCGAAAGCGUGGGGAGCAAACAGGAUUAGAUACCACUGUAGUC
rnacentral:rRNA from 1 species